rnacentral:tRNA from 1 species
GCCCCUGUAGCUCAGCAGGUAGAGCGCAUGGCUGUUACACAAUUUUGGCUGUGAAGAAACCAUGAGGUCCGCAGUUCGAGUCUGCGCAGGGGCG